AGUGAACGCUGGCGGCAGGCCUAAUACAUGCAAGUCGAACGGCAGCACGGUGGAGCUUGCUCCAUGGGUGGCGAGUGGCGGACGGGUGAGGAAUACAUGGGAAUCUGCCCAGUCGUGGGGGAUAACGUAGGGAAACUUACGCUAAUACCGCAUGCGCCCUAUGGGGGAAAGCCGGGGACCUUCGGGCCUGGCGCGAUUGGAUGAGCCCAUGUGCGAUUAGCUAGUUGGCGGGGUAAAGGCCCACCAAGGCGACGAUCGCUAGCUGGUCUGAGAGGAUGAUCAGCCACACUGGGACUGAGACACGGCCCAGACUCCUACGGGAGGCAGCAGUAGGGAAUAUUGGACAAUGGGGGCAACCCUGAUCCAGCCAUGCCGCGUGAGUGAAGAAGGCC
rnacentral:rRNA from 1 species